GGGAGAGUAGAGCUCAGUGGUAGAGUGUGUGCCUCGCAUGCACAAGGUCCUGGGUUCAAUCCCCAGCACUGCCA